rnacentral:rRNA from 1 species
GUGCCAGCAGCCGCGGUAAUACGGAGGGUGCGAGCGUUGUCCGGAUUUAUUGGGUUUAAAGGGUGCGUAGGCUGGGAGGUAAGUCAGCGGUGAAAAGCACACGCUUAACGGGUGUCUUGCCGCAGAUACUACUUUUCUUGGAUGAGGAGGAGGUCACUGGAACGGAUGGUGUAGCGGUGAAAUGCAUAGAUAUCAUCCAGAACACCGAUUGCGAAGGCAGGUGACUGUACCUUAAUCGACGCUGAGGCACGAAAGCGUGGGGAGCGAACAGGAUUAGAUACCCUGGUAGUCC